UACGGAGGGUGCAAGCGUUAUCCGGAUUCACUGGGUUUAAAGGGUGUGUAGGCGGGUAUUUAAGUCAGUGGUGAAAUCUCCGGGCUCAACCCGGAAACUGCCAUUGAUACUAUUUAUCUUGAAUUCUGUUGAGGUAGGCGGAAUAUAUCAUGUAGCGGUGAAAUGCUUAGAUAUGAUAUAGAACACCGAUUGCGAAGGCAGCUUACUAAACAGAUAUUGACGCUGAGGCACGAAAGCGUGGGGAUCAAACAGG
rnacentral:rRNA from 1 species